UAUCACCACUAAAUCCUUGACAUCUUGGGACUAAAAAUUACAUAAUAAUACUAUUUUUUUAGUAUGAAAAAUAUUAUCUCUUUAUAGAGUUAAACUCCUAUAUAUGCCUUUAAAAGCAUCAAAUUAUUUGUGCUUGCGAUUUUUUAUCUAUCAGAUCGUAUUAUUAAUAGUGUGUCCCAUUAAGUUUUAUUUACUAGUGUUACAUGAAUAUUGAGACGAUUUGAGGGAUAAAAAAUCGCAAGCAUGUUGAACUUCUGUGCUUUUAAAAUAACAGGAGCUCAACUCCUAUAUUAUAUAUAGAGAGAGAGAGAGAGAAAGAGAGAGCUAUUAUACUAUCGAUAGUACCAAGCGCUUAGUGCUAUAAAGUUUUUCGCCGUUAGAUCUACCCUUUUAACCGUUAGAUAAUAUUAUUCAACCAACAACUCACUCAACUCUAGAGGACCACUAUCAUUCUAAUUGCACAUCUCUAAUUCAUUCAAUGGUAGAAAAUCUAAUAGCAUCAAGUGCUUGAUACUAUUAAUAAUAUAGUAGCCUAUUUCUCUCUCUCUCUCUCUUUAUAUAUAUAUAUAUAUAUAUAUAUAUAUAUAUAUG
rnacentral:lncRNA from 1 species